ACCCGCUGAAUUUAAGCAUAUAAGUAAGCGGAGGAUAAGAAACUAAAUAGGAUUCCCUCAGUAAUGGCGAAUGAACAGGGAUAAGCUCAGCAUGGAAAUUGGGGCCUCCGGCCUUGAAUUGUAGUCUUGAGAUGUGUUACCAGCGGAGGCGCAGAUGUAAGCCUCCUGGAAAAGAGCGUCAGGGAGGGUGAGAGUCCCGUAUGUCAUCUGCAGUUCUCUGUGCACGGUACAUUUUCUAAGAGUCACGUUCCUCGGGAUUGGAGCGCAAAUUGGGUGGUAAAUUUCAUCUAAAGCUAAAUAUUGGUUCGAGACCGAUAGCAAACAAGUACCAUGAGGGAAAGGUGAAAAGGACUUUAAAAGAGAGUUAAAGUGCCUGAAAUUGCUAAAGGGAACGAAUGGACCAGUUGUUCUUGGCUAGAUAGGUGUUGUCUAAUGUGAUGGCUGGCCACUUCAACGCAAGUGUGGUGGCAGGUUUUGAUCUGGAUGCGAUACUGGUUGCUUGCCUUGCGUGUCAACGUCAGUUCAUAAUUGAGGAAAACUCUAGGGACAUGGUAAUUUGCUUCCGGGUGACUGAAUGUGCCUAGUUGGACUCAUUUUUGAACUGCUUUCCUGUGUGUCUGGUAGCAGUGCUCUGUGUGCUUGUCAGCAAUCUCUUGUUAGUUACCUGGCAUGAGACUUGCUGGCGCCUGGAACACAUCCUUGACAUAAGUACGAUGACGAAAUGGUUUUAUUCGACCCGUCUUAAACACGGACCAAGG
rnacentral:rRNA from 1 species